AGCGAACGCUGGCGGCAGGCUUAACACAUGCAAGUCGAGCGGGCGUAGCAAUACGUCAGCGGCAGACGGGUGAGUAACACGUGGGAACGUACCUUUUGGUUCGGAACAACACAGGGAAACUUGUGCUAAUACCGAAUAAGCCCUUACGGGGAAAGAUUUAUCGCCGAAAGAUCGGCCCGCGUCUGAUUAGCUUGUUGGUGAGGUAACGGCUCACCAAGGCGACGAUCAGUAGCUGGUCGAGAGGAUGAUCAGCCACACUGGGACUGAGACACGGGCCCAGACUCCUACGGGAGGCAGCAGUGGGGAAUUUGGACAAUGGGCGCAAGCCUGAUCCAGCCAUGCCGCGUGCGGGAAGAAGGCCUU
rnacentral:rRNA from 1 species